GCGCUGCCUCUGGCUCUAUGCAAGAUGGCCUCUGCCGAAGGCCCUCACUGGCACUGCUCGUGUUUCUAGAAUGCUAGUGCCUUGGUAGUGUUGCUGGUACCACCGGUGAGGCUAUCAGGGACAUCAAAUGACGGACACCUCCACCGCAUCUGGAGAUUCCUGGGUUGCAGGCACUGCCAUUGUUGGAACAAUGAAUCGAGGCUUGAAGUGAAAGAACCAUCUUGAUGUCAUGGCAACAGAAGGCAACAGCAAGGAUAGUAGUGCAAGAACCCAGAAGGGCCAUGAUCAGAGGAGACUUCAGAGAUCCAGGGCAGGAGAGGAACUGGAGAACACCACUAUCUUGUCUGAUCCCUUUCCUGGCCUGAAAAGACUGGC
rnacentral:lncRNA from 1 species